rnacentral:tRNA from 1 species
GCUCAGGUAGUGUAGUGGUUAGCACGCAGGAUUUUGAAACAAAGAUCUUGGAAUAUCAACUUCCUGAAUCCCCGGUUCGAACCCGGGCCAGAGCU